AUUGAACGCUGGCGGCAUGCUUUACACAUGCAAGUCGAACGGCAGCGCGGGGCAACCUGGCGGCGAGUGGCGAACGGGUGCGUAAUAUAUCGGAACGUACCCAGAAGUGGGGGAUAACGUAGCGAAAGUUACGCUAAUACCGCAUACGAUCUACGGAUGAAAGUAGGGGACCGCAAGGCCUUAUGCUAUUGGAGCGGCCGAUAUCUGAUUAGCUAGUUGGUGAGGUAAAGGCUCACCAAGGCGACGAUCAGUAGCUGGUCUGAGAGGACGACCAGCCACACUGGAACUGAGACACGGUCCAGACUCCUACGGGAGGCAGCAGUGGGGAAUUUUGGACAAUGGGCGCAAGCCUGAUCCAGCAAUGCCGCGUGAGUGAAGAAGGCCUUCGGGUUGUAAAGCUCUUUUGUCAGGGAAGAAACGGUAGAGGCUAAUAUCCUUUGCUAAUGACGGUACCUGAAGAAUAAGCACCGGCUAACUACGUG
rnacentral:rRNA from 1 species